rnacentral:rRNA from 1 species
AACGAACGCUGGCGGCAUGCCUAACACAUGCAAGUCGAACGAGACCUUCGGGUCUAGUGGCGCACGGGUGCGUAACGCGUGGGAACCUGCCCUUAGGUUCGGAAUAACCCUCCGAAAGGGGUGCUAAUACCGGAUAAUGUCUUCGGACCAAAGAUUUAUCGCCUUUGGAUGGGCCCGCGUUGGAUUAGCUAGUUGGUAGGGUAAAAGCCUACCAAGGCGACGAUCCAUAGCUGGUCUGAGAGGAUGAUCAGCCACACUGGGACUGAGACACGGCCCAGACUCCUACGGGAGGCAGCAGUGGGGAAUAUUAGACAAUGGGCGAAAGCCUGAUCCAGCCAUGCCGCGUGAGUGAUGCAGGCCUUAGGAGUGUAAAGCUCUUUUACCCGGGAUGAUAAUGACAGUACCGGGAGAAUAAGCCCCGGCUAACUCCGUG